AGGGAAAAGGGCUGAGGGGGUAGAGGUAUAAAAAUCAGAUAGCUCAGCACUUCGCUCCAAAGGAGCUGAAGGAGAGAGGAUUCCACUGCGUGUAUGUUUUCUCUUUCACGUCUCACUUUUGUUCUCUGCCAUCAGGAAAUGCAGUAGACAUUUGUCACCAGCAGCUCUUUGGAGACUUCAAUGUUCCUUCCUCCCAGGAUCCGAAAGGGGACUUCAGACACGGGAGAAUCUAAGACACCAGGAGCUCAGAAGAAUGGAGUCUCAAGACAUCAGGCAAAUACCGAAGAGAUCAGAGCCAAGUUCUAAAGGGCAGCCAUUUCCCAAAUGUCAACCAAGAGCGAAGCCAAGAGAAUUAUGAUUUCCUGGCUAUACAAUGACAGGAAAAGCUUGAUCAAAGCUGGAGUGCAAGUUAAAAAGUGUAAGGUACUCAAGUGCUAGGGUCUGUGUCCAAGCCCAAUCAAUUGAUCAUUAGUUGUUUUUAACUUCAACGUUUCUUUUGCAACAGCACCUCUUCCUUAAAGUAGCAAUCUUAGCAGACUGCCACCUUACAUGAUGCAUCUUAUUCUCCAAGGACAAUGAAGACUGAACUAUCGCACAUUACCUAAGAAAGAUGGGAAUUGACAUGCACAUCACAAUUGUAUACACAACAG
rnacentral:lncRNA from 1 species